rnacentral:rRNA from 1 species
GACGAACGCUGGCGGCGUGCCUAAUACAUGCAAGUAGAACGAGUUGCGAACGGGUGAGUAACGCGUGGUAACCUGCCUCAUAGCGGGGGAUAACUAUUGGAACCGAUAGCUAAUAUCGCAUACCAUCAGAUGUUCCCAGAUUGGAUUAGCUUGUUGGUUGGGUAACGGCUCACCAAGGCGACGAUCCCUAGCUGGUCUGCGAGGAUGACCAGCCCCACUGGAACGGAUACACGGUCCAGACUCCUACGGGAUGCAGCCGGGGGGAAUAUUGCACAAUGGGCGCAAGCCUGAUGCAGCCAUGCGGCGUGAAUGAAGAAGGCCUUCGGGUUGUAAAGUACUUUCAGCGGGGAGGCGUUACCCGCAGAAGAAGCACCGGCUAACUCCGUGCCAGCAGCCGAGGUAAUUC